rnacentral:lncRNA from 1 species
GGGCUACUAUUAUUGGAUGCCUAGAGCACUGAUGCUGCAGGCGGGAGUCAUCUGUUGUAGAAGUCCGGAUGGAAAUUUUCUGUUGGAGAAGUUCGGUUUCAUGAGGAAUCUGGUAAAGGGUCGACCGACAGUGGACUUCAGAUGGCGUUGGGGAGGUUUGUCCGCUGGAGGAGUCUGGAGGAUCUUGUGGAAGUUCAGUUGGC